UCAGCGGCCAUCUAGGUCAACACAUUAAAAAAAGAAUUCCCACCUAUAACAUAUUCACCAAGAGCUAUGGCAUCCUUGCAUCAGCCCACGGAGUCUGAGUACAUAGUAGGUACUCAAAGAAUGCUUACCAAUUGGUGAAUUGGUACCAAUUGACCAUGAAGAUGACAAUGAGAAUGAUGAGUAUGAAAUGUGACUGCCUCACUGAGAGAGCACCUUGUAACCCUGAGAGGAGGGGCCCAAGUCAGGAAAAGUCCUACCGAAGCACAUACAGGCAUACCUUGGAGAUACUGCAGGUUCAGUUUCCAUAUUAUCACAAUAAAGAUAAUCACACACAUUUUUUUUGU